rnacentral:rRNA from 1 species
ACAAUGGAGAGUUUGAUCCUGGCUCAGGAUGAACGCUAGCGGCAGGCUUAACACAUGCAAGUCGAGGGGUAGAAUGUCUUCGGAUGUUUGAGACCGGCGAACGGGUGCGUAACACGUAUGCAACCUACCUUUUACUGGGAGAUAGCCCGGAGAAAUCCGGAUUAAUAUCCCAUAUGCUCGUACGAUCUCCUGAUCGAGCGAGGAAAGCUCCGGCGGUAAAAGAUGGGCAUGCGUCCCAUUAGCUAGUUGGUGAGGUAAUGGCUCACCAAGGCUACGAUGGGUAGGGGGCCUGAGAGGGUGACCCCCCACACUGGUACUGAGACACGGACCAGACUCCUACGGGAGGCAGCAGU